rnacentral:rRNA from 1 species
AUACGUAGGUGACAAGCGUUAUCCGGAUUUACUGGGCGUAAAGGGCGUGUAGGCGGUCUUGCAAGUCAGAAGUGAAAUUCCUGAGCUCAACUCGGGCGCUGCUUCUGAAACUGCAGGACUUGAGUGCUGGAGGGGAUAGCGGAAUUCCUAGUGGAGCGGUAAAAUGCGCAGAUAUUAGGAAGAACACCGGUGGCGAAGGCGGCUAUCUGGACAGUAACUGACGCUGAGGCGCGAAAGCGUGGGGAGCAAACAGGAUUAGAUACCCUGGUAGUCCACGCUGUAAACGAUGAAUACUAGGUGUAGGGGGUAUCGACUCCCUCUGUGCCGCAGUUAACACAAUAAGUAUUCCGCCUGGGGAGUACGGCCGCAAGGUUGAAACUUAAAGGAAUUGACGGGG